rnacentral:rRNA from 1 species
UUAAAGUCUAAUCUGCCCUAUGAGGUAUUAAAUGGCCGCGGUAUUUUGACCGUGCAAAGGUAGCAUAAUAAUUAGUUUUUUAAUUGAAAGCUAGAAUGAAUGAUUGGACGAGAAAAUAACUGUCUCAGUUUAAUUUUUUUUAGAAUUUUAUUUUUAAGUAAGAAAGCUUAAAUAAGAUUAAUAGACGAGAAGACCCUAUAGAGUUUUAUAUUUAAUUUAUUAUUAAUUUUUAAGUAUUAUUUUAUUAAUAUUAAAUUAAUUAUUCUGUUGGGGCGAUAGAAAAAUUUUUUUAACUUUUUUUAGUAAUUAACCAUUAAUUUAUGAUUAAUUGAUCCAUAUUUUAUGAUUAAAAGAUUAAGUUACCUUAGGGAUAACAGCGUAAUUUUUUUUUAGAGUUCUUAUCGAGAAAAAAGAUUGCGACCUCGAUGUUGGAUUAAAAUUAAUUCUUGGUGUAGAAGCUUUGUAAUUAGGUCUGUUCGACCUUUAAAAUUUUACA